UUUUGCCUAGUUUAAGAAAAAUACCUGUUUGUCAAGCCGGCGAUGUGAGUGUUUCACGGCAGAGU
rnacentral:tRNA from 1 species